AGGACGAACGCUGGCGGCGUGCUUAACACAUGCAAGUCGAGCGGAAAGGCCCUUCGGGGUACUCGAGCGGCGAACGGGUGAGUAACGCGUGAGUAAUCUGCCCCUAGCUCUGGGAUAGCUCCGGGAAAACCGGGAUUAAUACCGGAUAUGACCACUUUAGACAUCUGUUGUGGUGGAAAGAAUUUCGGCUAGGGAUGAGCUCGCGGCCUAUCAGCUAGUUGGUGGGGUAAAGGCCUACCAAGGCGACGACGGGUA
rnacentral:rRNA from 1 species